ensembl:lncRNA
GGAGACUUCUCUCCUAGUAGUUAACCUUUCCAUAGUACUUCAUGUCUCCGUACCUCCCACCGGGAAUUCUUAGAGAAGCUACUCAGCCUCAUCCUGUAGCUCAGAUUUUAUCGAGAAUAACAACCACUUUGGACUGAAUUUGUACCAUCAUUUAGCAAAAAUGGAUUCGUCCACAGCCCUCCUCUCUCUGUCGGCAGCACCCACUGGGCUCAGAAUCAACAAAUUUCCAGGAUUGCCAUUCAGUCCCUGUGGAUAGGAAUUCAGAGCUUCUGUUGUGCCCAAGUGUUGGGAGGUUAGCGUGAGCCACAUUCCAUGUCAUUCCCAGAUAAUGGUGUGAUGCUGGAAUUCAUCUCCCCUGGGUGACAGGUUCCAUGAGCUGCCGUACAGCUAACCACGGAUCGGGGUGGAUGACAGGAAGCCUCACCAUUCCCAAAGGUGAGGUCCUUUCUUUCCUGACACAUACACUUGACCUUUGGAUGCUGAUUCAGAGACAUCACUAUCGGGACCAUCAGGAGGAGAGCCUCAGGGACAAGGGUCUUCAUUGUGCUUGAAGAGUGGAGACUGAACUUCUGCUAGUCAGUAUAUAAUAAAUAUUUAUUUGAAGGAGGCUGAUUGGUUCUCUAAGAAUUCCCAUUGGUAGUGAUGCUGACCCACUGGGCUUGGUCAUGGAAAGAUGAACUCCUAG